ACGCUCGACACCUACGGGAGGCAGCAGUGGGGGAUAUUGCGCAAUGGGGGAAACCCUGACGCAGCAACGCCGCGUGAAGGACGAAGGUUUUCGGAUUGUAAACUUCUUUUGUCAGGGACGAAGAAAUGACGGUACCUGACGAAUAAGCUCCGGCUAACUACGUGCCAACAGCCGCGGUAAUCUGAGCGGGCUGGCAAGGC
rnacentral:rRNA from 1 species